CCUUGCGCAGCGACUGGAAGAGCAAAACAGAAGCACUUAUCUUUUGGUUAAAUCUUUCCAAACUUCUAUUUUAUUUCUGUUUUUAAUAAUGUGUAAUUAAAUUUAUGUUGGCUAGAGGUUAAUUCAAAACCAUGAAUAUAUUUGUAAUAUGAAUUGAUUUACCUUCGGUUGUGAUUUCAUAAGUUGUGAAUUCAAUUUACUUUAUCCGUUCGUAUAAAAACUGAUUUGUGUAUGUUGGUUGAGAGUGCACGCUUAAUUUACAUGCAUGAAUUU
rnacentral:lncRNA from 1 species